AUUGAACGCUGGCGGCAUGCCUUACACAUGCAAGUCGAACGGUAACAGGUCUUCGGAUGCUGACGAGUGGCGAACGGGUGAGUAAUACAUCGGAACGUGCCUAGUAGUGGGGGAUAACUACUCGAAAGAGUGGCUAAUACCGCAUGAGAUCUACGGAUGAAAGCAGGGGAUCGCAAGACCUUGUGCUACUAGAGCGGCCGAUGGCAGAUUAGGUAGUUGGUGGGAUAAAAGCUUACCAAGCCGACGAUCUGUAGCUGGUCUAAGAGGACGAUCAGCCACACUGGGACUGAGACACGGCCCAGACUCCUACGGGAGGCAGCAGUGGGGAAUUUUGGACAAUGGGCGCAAGCCUGAUCCAGCAAUGCCGCGUGCAGGAUGAAGGCCUUCGGGUUGUAAACUGCUUUUGUACGGAACGAAAAGCCCCGGGUUAAUACCCUGGGGUCAUGACGGUACCGUAAGAAUAAGCACCGGCUAACUACGUGCCAGCCGCCGCGGUAA
rnacentral:rRNA from 1 species